GACGAACGCUGGCGGCGUGCCUAAUACAUGCAAGUCGAGCGCAGGAAGUCGACGGAACCCUUCGGGGGGAAGUCGACGGAAUGAGCGGCGGACGGGUGAGUAACACGUAAAGAACCUGCCCUCAGGUCUGGGAUAACCACGAGAAAUCGGGGCUAAUACCGGAUGGGUCAUCGGACCGCAUGGUCCGAGGAUGAAAGGCGCUUCGGCGUCGCCUGGGGAUGGCUUUGCGGUGCAUUAGCUAGUUGGUGGGGUAAUGGCCCACCAAGGCGACGAUGCAUAGCCGACCUGAGAGGGCGAUCGGCCACACUGGGACUGAGACACGGCCCAGACUCCUACGGGAGGCAGCAGUAGGGAAUCUUCCACAAUGGACGAAAGUCUGAUGGAGCAACGCCGCGUGAGCGAUGAAGGCCUUCGGGUCGUAAAGUUCUGUUGUAAGGGAAGAACAAGUGCCGCAGGCAAUGGCGGCACCUUGACGGUACCUUGCGAGAAAGCCACGGCUAACUACGUGCCAGCCGCCGCCGUAACAC
rnacentral:rRNA from 1 species